rnacentral:rRNA from 1 species
AUGGUGGAACUCAAGAACCCAAGCGAUCGCAACUGGGUUAAGUGGACAACAAACUGGUCGACGGCGGCAAGGCAGAAAGUUGGUGAGUUGGGUGGGGCUCGUCGGCUGAGACGACGUUGUUUUUGCCCAACUGCUGGAUGGCAACGUCGCAGCUCGCAGCUUCUUGUGGCUCAGGGGAAGGAGGAAGAGAACAAGGUGGCUCAGGGGAGGGAUGAAGAGAUCAAGGGGUGUUGUAGUUGCUCCACAUCAGCAAAGGGUUGCCCAAAAUCAAUCAUGGCAAAUCCAUGUAUAGGUGUAGUUUUCUUUUGCCUCUCUUCUUAG